AACAUGCUAAGGCAGAGUAUCGAUUACUUGGAGUAACUGCCAGUAAGCUCAACCACCUCAACCUUCCUUGGUUACUUGCUACUAAAGGCUAAAUAUAUGCAAACCACAAUGACUACUCAUGAAGCAAGACAUGCUGCUACUUCUGAAAGGACUGAAAUGCCCACAAUAACCACUAAAGAAGCAGACAACACUGCCUUGCAUAACACAAGUACCAACUGGAAUAUAUAUACCAUAACUGCGAAUACUACCAGUGUUUCCACAAUGUUAUCUUAUUUAUCACAAAGCACUCACUCUCCUAGUACAGAAAGAAACAGUUCAUCAGAUACCAUUGCUGAAACCAAAAAGGUGACAACAUUUCCUGCUGAAUCAUUCUUUAGUAAUUCUGUGUAUCAAUCCACUGUUGAAGAUCCCAAAGCAACAACUUCAGCUAUAACAUCGAGUUUGAUAGCCCAAGUUUCAACAAGUAUGCCAUUAAUCAGUAGCAAGCUUCUGGCUUUGGUUUCAUCAAAUAAGUUUCAAGCAGGAGGUGGUCGUUUGAAGAAUUCAGAAGCCAUCUUAACAAUCAGUUUUGCCAUUCUUCUUGCACUAACAAUCCUAGGAUUCACUGUUUAUAUUUUCAAUAAAUUUAGAAAGAGAAGAGAUCAAUAUUCCCACCAUCCACUUUAUGAUACUUCUUCUGAAACAGCAGAAAGAUAUGCAAUUCCAGAGGAUGUACUGGUUAUAUCAGGAGGACUGUAUGACGCACCAAGAAUAUAUAAUCCCAACAUGGUGAAUGAAGAUGAUGAACUUACAAAUGAUUAUUUACCAUUUAGUGUUCAACCAGGACAACUCAAAUUGGAAUUUCUGUCAGGAGAAAAAGAACAGGACAUUUCCCCAGCUUAUGAAACAUUUCAGAAAACACCAGGAGAUUUAUAAUGGAUGGGACACAGAUCCUUCAAAGUGGCAAAAUUAACCCACUGUGAUGUCAGUUUGAAUAAAAUCAGAAAAUAGAACUCACAAAGAUGUUUAUUAAAACAAAGAAACAUUUACAAGUUAUACAAGAAUAGUUAAUAAUUCUUUGCAACUUAGUGACUGCUUGUGCACAAUAUUUUACUGGAUCCAGAUUUAUUCAUACACAGAAUUGACCCCCCAGAAAUCCACAGUACUAAUUUAAUUAUUUUAUCAGCUAUGUUAGAUCUCCUUGCUAUUGUGAAUAUUUUUCUUUAUUGUAAUUUAUUAUGUUAUUGUUGUAAUAAUAAAGAUUGAAUAAAAAUGAUUUAAUUGCUCUAAUGAUGAAUAAUUCUGGUCUCCGUGUAUUGUGCUUAAAUAAGUAACAUAAAACUUUACUAAAACUUUAAUAAAAUUGUAUUUUUGCUAACUCUAAAAACUUUGUCAGGUUUUCCCUGUUUUUAUUAAUAUAUACUGCCAUUGCUCAUGUGGUGAGAAAACUGACAUAGAUUUCACUGGAAUCCUAUUUCAUUAUUCCUCCAGUGCUGGUGCCCUGUG